GACGAACGCUGGCGGCGUGCUUAACACAUGCAAGUCGAACGGAAAGGCCCUGCUUUUGUGGGGUGCUCGAGUGGCGAACGGGUGAGUAACACGUGAGUAACCUGCCCUUGACUUUGGGAUAACUUCAGGAAACUGGGGCUAAUACCGGAUAGGAGCUCCUGCUGCAUGGUGGGGGUUGGAAAGUUUCGGCGGUUGGGGAUGGACUCGCGGCUUAUCAGCUUGUUGGUGGGGUAGUGGCUUACCAAGGCUUUGACGGGUAGCCGGCCUGAGAGGGUGACCGGCCACAUUGGGACUGAGAUACGGCCCAGACUCCUACGGGAGGCAGCAGUGGGGAGUAUUGCACAGUGGGCGGAAGCCUGAGGCAGCAACGCCGCGUGCGGGAUGACGGCCUUCGGGUUGUAAACCGCUUUCGCCUGUGACGAAGCGUGAGUGACGGUAAUGGGUAAAGAAGCACCGGCUAACUACGUG
rnacentral:rRNA from 1 species